GUCGAACGGGCUCAUAUUGAAACCUAGUGAUGUAUGAGUUAGUGGCGGACGGCUCGAGUAACGCGUGGAGAACCUGCCGUAUACUGGGGGAUAACACUUACAAAUAGGUGCUAAUACCGCAUAAGCGCACAGCUUCGCAUGAAGCAGUGUGAAAAACUCCGGUGGUAUACGAUGGAUCCGCGUCUGAUUAGCUGGUUGGCGGGGUAACAGCCCACCAAGGCGACGAUCAGUAGCUGGCCUGAGAGGGUGAACGGCCACAUUGGGACUGAGACACGGCCCAAACUCCUACGGGAGGCAGCAGUGGGGAAUAUUGCACAAUGGGGGAAACCCUGAUGCAGCGACGCCGCGUGAGUGAAGAAGUAUUUCGGUAUGUAAAGCUCUAUCAGCAGGGAAGAAAAUGACGGUACCUGACUAAGAAGCCCCGGCUAACUACGUGCCAGCAGCCGCGGUAAUACGUAGGGGGCAAGCGUUAUCCGGAUUUACUGGGUGUAAAGGGAGCGUAGACGGCAGCGCAAGUCUGAAGUGAAAUCCCAUGGCUUAACCAUGGAACUGCUUUGGAAACUGUGCAGCUGGAGUGCAGGAGAGGUAAGCGGAAUUCCUAGUGUAGCGGUGAAAUGCGUAGAUAUUAGGAGGAACACCAGUGGCGAAGGCGGCUUACUGGACUGUAACUGACGUUGAGGCUCGAAAGCGUGGGGAGCAAACAGGAUUAGAUACCCUGGUAGUCCACGCCGUAAACGGUGAUUACUAGGUGUUGGGGGACCAAGGUCCUUCGGUGCCGGCGCAAACGCAUUA
rnacentral:rRNA from 1 species